rnacentral:lncRNA from 1 species
GUUGAUUGAAGAAUUCACAAAAGCAUCCAUAUGAUUUACCGCCACAACAUAUAACCUAAACCUAGAUCAUUUUUAAGUGUUCCCAAGAAUAUUAAACUAUUUACAUCUGCAACUUGUUCAUAUAUAUGAAUAUUGCGUGAAUUUUAUUUAAUUCAAGAAAGGGAGGCUGCCUGAAAGAAUUGAAUUCAAUAAAAUGAAUGGGUGC